rnacentral:rRNA from 1 species
GCGUAAUAGCUCACUGGUCGAGUCGGCCUGCGCGGAAGAUGUAACGGGGCUAAACCAUGCACCGAAGCUGCGGCAGCGAACGUAUCACUUAAAGCGAUUCAGCGGGUUACGAUUGACGGAGCGAAGCGACGUCAAAGCGUAUACAAAGUCGAGUCGGUUUAAGGAUACGUUCGUUGGGUAGGGGAGCGUUCUGUAAGCCUGUGAAGGUGGCCUGUGAGGGUUGCUGGAGGUAUCAGAAGUGCGAAUGCUGACAUAAGUAACGAUAAAGCGGGUGAAAAGCCCGCUCGCCGGAAGACCAAGGGUUCCUGUCCAACGUUAAUCGGGGCAGGGUGAGUCGACCCCUAAGGCGAGGCCGAAAGGCGUAGUCGAUGGGAAACGGGUUAAUAUUCCCGUACUUGGUGUUACUGCGAAGGGGGGACGGAGAAGGCUAUGUUGGCCGGGCGACGGUUGUCCCGGUUUAAGCGUGUAGGCUGGUUUUCCAGGCAAAUCCGGAAAAUCAAGGCUGAGGCGUGAUGACGAGGCACUACGGUGCUGAAGCAACAAAUGCCCUGCUUCCAGGAAAAGCCUCUAAGCAUCAGGUAACAUCAAAUCGUACCCCA